UACGUAGGGUGCAGGCGUAAUCGGAAUUACUGGGCGUAAAGCGUGCGCAGGCGGCUCCUUAAGUCAGAUGUGAAAGCCCCGGGCUUAACCUCGGAACUGCCUUCGAUACUGCGGGUCUCGAGUCCGGGAGAGGUGAGUGGAAUUCCCAGUGUAGAGGUGAAAUUCGUAGAGUAUUAGGAAGAACACCAGUGGCGAAAGGCGGCUCACUGGCCCGGUACUGACGCUGAGGCGCGAAAGCGUGGGGAGCAAACAGGG
rnacentral:rRNA from 1 species